UCGUCGCUCCGGGGUUGACGCCACCCGGCUUCUCGACGGGACACCGCUUGUGGAUGGAAGCUGCCGAGACGACCGUCGGGAGGCGGGCGAAAUGUGACGGCAGGGCUCGUCGCUCCGGGGUUGACGCCACCCGGCUUCUCGACGGGACACCGCUUGUGGAUGGAAGCUGCCGAGACGACCGUCGGGAGGCGGGCGAAAUGUGACGGCAGGGCUCGUCGCUCCGGGGUUGACGCCACCCGGCUUCUCGACGGGACACCGCUUGUGGAUGGAAGCUGCCGAGACGACCGUCGGGAGGCGGGCGAAAUGUGACGGCAGGGCUCGUCGCUCCGGGGUUGACGCCACCCGGCUUCUCGACGGGACACCGCUUGUGGAUGGAAGCUGCCGAGACGACCGUCGGGAGGCGGGCGAAAUGUGACGGCAGGGCUCGUCGCUCCGGGGUUGACGCCACCCGGCUUCUCGACGGGACACCGCUUGUGGAUGGAAGCUGCCGAGACGACCGUCGGGAGGCGGGCGAAAUGUGACGGCAGGGCUCGUCGCUCCGGGGUUGACGCCACCCGGCUUCUCGACGGGACACCGCUUGUGGAUGGAAGCUGCCGAGACGACCGUCGGGAGGCGGGCGAAAUGUGAC